CGCUGCUGCCGCCGCCGCCCCCCGCGCCGCCAGACAUCCGCCUGCCGCCCCCGGACAGCCUGCCUUCCGCCCCUGGCUCUGAGCGUGGCAGCGUCCUACCUCACGACGGUGCCGAUUCGGACCUCGACGAGUCGGAGCUGCGCCGGGAGCUGCUCAACGACAAAUGGCGACAGCUGUUCGACAAGUACGACCCCGAGGGCUUCGGCGAGAUCCCGUGGGACGACUUCGUGGAGGUGCUCAACCAGCCGGAGUUCGCCGCCGAGGUGGACGCGCACAAGCGGGACAUCCUGCUGGAGAGGGCGCU